rnacentral:rRNA from 1 species
GCAGUCUUAGUUCGGAUUGUAGGCUGCAACUCGCCUACAUGAAGUCGGAAUCGCUAGUAAUCGCGAAUCAGAAUGUCGCGGUGAAUACGUUCCCGGGUCUUGUACACACCGCCCGUCACACCACGAGAGUUUACAACACCCGAAGUCAGUGGCCUAACCGCAAGGAGGGAGCUGCCUAAGGUGGGGUAGAUGAUUGGGGUGAAGUCGUAACAAGGUAUC